rnacentral:pre_miRNA from 1 species
GACUAAAUUUUGUAUUUUCAUCUUUCAGUGACGCAUUUGUCAGCGGAGUGAGAAGACGAAAAGUC